AUUGAACGCUGGCGGCAUGCUUUACACAUGCAAGUCGAACGGUAACAGGGGCUUCGGCCCGCUGACGAGUGGCGAACGGGUGAGUAAUGUAUCGGAACGUGCCCAGUAGUGGGGGAUAACUACUCGAAAGAGUAGCUAAUACCGCAUGAGAACUGAGGUUGAAAGCGGGGGAUCUUCGGACCUCGCGCUACUGGAGCGGCUGAUAUCAGAUUAGGUAGUUGGUGAGGUAAAGGCUUACCAAGCCUGCGAUCUGUAGCUGGUCUGAGAGGACGACCAGCCACACUGGGACUGAGACACGGCCCAGACUCCUACGGGAGGCAGCAGUGGGGAAUUUUGGACAAUGGGCGCAAGCCUGAUCCAGCAAUGCCGCGUGCAGGACGAAGGCCUUCGGGUUGUAAACUGCUUUUGUACAGAACGAAAUGUCUCUGGCUAAUACCUGGGGAAGAUGACGGUACUGUAAGAAUAAGCACCGGCUAACUACGUGCCAGCAGCCGCAGUAA
rnacentral:rRNA from 1 species